rnacentral:rRNA from 1 species
UACGGAGGGGGCCAGCGUUGCUCGGAAUUACUGGGCGUAAAGGGCGCGUAGGCGGCUGCACGAGUCGGAAGUGAAAUCCCUCGGCUUAACCGGGGAACGGCCUCCGAUACCGUGCGGCUCGAGUCCCGGAGAGGGUGGUGGAAUUCCCGGUGUAGCGGUGAAAUGCGUAGAUACUGGGAGGAACACCGGUGGCGAAGGCGGCCACCUGGACGGGUACUGACGCUGAGGCGCGAAAGCUAGGGCAGCAAACAGG